UGGUCAUGGCGAGAAUUGAACGUUCAACCUACUGAUUAAAGGCCAGUUGCUCUACCGGCUGAGCCAUGCACC